rnacentral:rRNA from 1 species
AUGACCAUCGAAUUGCACCUAACUCGCCGGGCGGGUUCUGAUAUUGUGACCAUCCAUCAAUCCACCAUUAUAUUAUCUCAACAGCGACGAGGUCAUCACCGUGCUGCAGGUGGCCGAGCUGCCGGAGGUACACAUCUCCUCGUCGCCCUUCACGAGCACAGCCGGCCACAUGAACGCGGGCCUCGACGGCGGCACGUCCGGCGGCGGAGCGGAGUGCGUCAGGAUCUGCAGGAUGGCCUGCGCCGUGGGCCGCUCCCCAGGGUUGGGGUGGCUGCACGCGAGGCCCAGCAGCAGAAGUCUCUCCGCCUCGGCCUCGUCGAACGCGCCGGCGAGCCUGGGGUCGACGGCCUCGAGGACGCUCCCCGCGCCAUGGAGCUCCCACGCCUCCUCCAGCAGCUGGCUGCACCCGGCGGGGUGGCAGCAGGAGUUCCGGCGGCCGCAGACGAUCUCCAGCACGACGGCGCCGAAGCCGAAGACGUCCAACUCCCGGGUGGCCCGGCCGGUGUGGAAGCACUCAGGCGCGAUGUAGCCCAGCGUGCCCGGCAGGCCGGCCCGGUCGGUGUAGGAGGUCUUGUCGGCGUCGAGCGCGCGGGCGAGGCCGAAGUCGCCGAGGCGGGCGUUGAAGGCGGCGUCCAGCAUGAUGUUGGACGGCUUCAUGUCCCGGUGGAUCACCACGUGGUCGUAGUCGUGGUGAAGGUAGUUGAGCGCCGACGCGACGCCGGCCGCCACCUUGUAGCGCUGCUCCCAUGUGAGGACCGGAGCGUCGCCGGGGCGGCCGAAGAGGUGCCGGUCCAGGCUGCCGUUGGGCAUCAGGUCGUACACCAGCAGCAACACGCCGUUCUGGUGGCACCAGCCUGCAGACAAACAAACAAACAAGCGCGUCCAUGUUCGUUAGCUGUUAAUUAA